UAAAACAGUUCGAUAUGUUUUUAUGAUAUCAACAAUUUGGUUAAUUUCAAGGAAUAUAAUAUAAAAGAAGAAAAUUUAAGAAUUUAAAAUUAUGAAUAUUGGAAUUUUUCGUGGUAAAAAGUUUUUCAUUGUGAAAUAAGUAUAUAAAAAAUUAAUGUAUGUUGUUAGGGUAAUCUUUUCUCAUAGAAAAUUGCGAUACGAAAUUUGUUCAAAGUGACUCAUCGAUUUUUGUUUUCCUUGUGUACGAACAUUUUCGAUAGCAACGGAAAAAUGCAAAAGUUCUUACCGAUUGUUUUUGGUUUGUACAUAUAUUCACACGAACAUCAUUGGCAGUCAUCAAAAAAAAAAAAAAAAAAAAAAAAAAAAAAAUUUUUAGUUCAUUUUUUCUUUCUCAAUAUCACAAGCGAUAUAUAAUUAUUAUAUUAAUUAUUUCUUAAACAUCUCACUCCAUAUCUUUAUAGAGUUAUUAUUAAUUACAGUUAAAAUGAUGGCUUUUACAGAAUAUUUGGAAAAUUUGAAUACUGAUAUUUGAAAUUUGAAAAAAAAGAAAUAAAAAUUUUAUUACCACUUCGUGUAUAAAAAUUAUUUGUAGGAAAUUGUACAUCACAUAUUAACAACUCGAAGGAAUACGCUUUAAUUUCAUUGGUAUAUCAGCCAUGUCUACAUGGAUAUCCGCAGACGAACGUAUGUUAAAAAUAAUAAGGAAGAUAGUACCAAAUUUGACCAAUACUAAAUAUAAAGGUCAAGAUGGAAGAAUAGGAAUAUUUGGUGGUAGCUCAGAUUAUACUGGAGCACCAUAUUUCACGGCAAUGAGUGCUCUUAGAACUGGCGCAGAUUUAGUGCAUAUAUUUUGUGUAAAAGAUGCUAGUACACCUAUUAAAUCUUUUAGCCCAGAACCAAUUGUACAUCCGGUUUUGGAUCAAUACGAUGCUAUGAAACAUAUAAAACCUUGGUUGGAUCGUUUGCAUAUUAUUAUCAUUGGGCCAGGACUUGGAAGAGAUGAUAAGAUUCUUAAAGUCAUAGUUGAAUUGAUUUCUAUCUGCCGUGAAUUAAAAAAACCAUUGAUAAUAGACGCGGAUGGAUUAUUCUUAAUAUUUCAAAAACCUGACAUAAUUAAGGAUUAUCCAGAUCUAAUACUUACACCUAAUGCUAUGGAAUUUAGUCGAUUAGCUAAGUCUAUAUUAAAAAAAUCGAUUCAACCUUCCCCAAUGGUUAAGCCUGCGGAUGUAAAAGAAUUGGCGGAUACUCUUGGAAAGAAUGUUGUCAUUUUACAUAAAGGAGCAAAAGAUAUUAUAGCGGAUGGACAUGAAGGCACUGAAACUAUAUCAUGUGGUAUGGCUGGUUCCGGACGACGAUGCGGUGGUCAAGGAGAUCUUUUAGUUGGAUCCGUAGCUGUUUUUUGGUGGUGGGCCAUUUGUGGUGUAACUUGUGAUUCCACUAUAUCACCUUCGGUAUUAGCAUGUUACGCAGGAUCAAGAUUAAUUAGAGAAUGUAAUUCAGCUGCGUAUAAAAUUAAACAAAGAGCCACUUUGACAAGUGAUAUGUUGGAACAAAUACAAAAUGUUUUUGCUAGAAUUUUUGAAACUCAUGGCAACAAGUGAGCUAUAAGUUUGAAUCGUAAACUCAUUUAUAAAAUAAUAAUUGAUAAUAUAUUUCUUUUAUAGGGGGUUAUCUGUGUGUGCGUGUGUGUGCGUGUGUGUAUAUAUAUGUAUAUUUACAGGCAAUUUUUUUAUAAUUGCAAAUAUAUUUCUUAGUAUAAACAAUUAUUUAAUGAAUUUUUUUUUUAAAUAUAUUUCUUAACAAGAAAAGAGUAUACAUGUAUAUAUGUAAUAUCCCAUCAAAAUUUUCUUAAUAUUCGUUUUAGAACUUCGUCAUUCAAUGGGAGAAAUCGAUUAUUGCAAAAUGUUGAUAAUUAAAAACAUUGGAUCAUGUUUAAAUGAAAUUUUUAGAAUACACGAGAUAUAGUAUACUAAAAAAUAUUAAUAAAUAUAAUGUUAUUUUAUGACAAAUUAGAUUAUAUGCAUGCAUUCAGCAUUGUUAAUAUCUUAGAUAUGGAAAAGUUAUAAAUAAUAAGACUGUCAAUAAAAUAUUUUGUACAUUUUAUACUCUAAGAGUAUUUAAGGAACGAAAUAAGAUCAGUACAUUGAUUUUGCAUGAUCAUACAAGAACUAUAGAAAUUUAAUGGUCACUCGUACAUAAAUAUUAAGAAGAGAAAAAUUUGUCAUACAACAACAUUUAUGUGAUUUAUCACAAAAAGUACAUAUCUAAUAUCAUUUUUAAGAAUGAUGCUGUAGAUUUCAGCCAUGGUAAGCCAAUUAAUUAAGUACAAAUAUAUUGCAUGGUACUGCAAAUUUUUUAUCUGCUACUUAUAACCGAUAUUGUAAUCGAUUACUUUUCUAUUAUAAUUAAUAAUUUCAUUAUUUAACAGAUAUUUUAAAAAAUGUACAUUGAUCUCCUUCCAAAAGUUCACUCUCUUUUGUGCGUAAGAUUAAUAAUAAUAAUAAUAAUAAUAAUAAUAAUAAUAAUAAUAAUAAUAAUGAGUACGUAUGAUAUAUAAAAAGGAGAAAAGGUAAAAAGAGAUGUGCAACUUGCACAUCGUUAAAAGAGAGAUUUGGCAUUAAUAUCUUAAAAAAUACUGCCUAUUUAUGUCAAGUAUGAUGUCCGCUAAAAUUUCUUUUUCGAACAUCAUUCAAUUUAAGCCAUUAAUAAUACUAAUAUCAAUAACCUAAUUUAUCAUUUAUAGACUACGAAUAAAAUGUCAGUACCGAAAUAUGAUUUCCCCUUAUUAAAAGAG